UUGACAGCUUUAGAAACUGGAGCCUUUUGUUCAUCCACAGAACAGAUACAGCACAAGCAGCCGUUCUGGGAGUUUCCUCACAAUAUGCUUCAGCCUGGCUUUUGGAGGGCCCACUUUUCCAUGGCGUUUGAGUAGCCAGUGAGGAAGCUCAUUUGGAUUCUCUGACUAGGCUGUACUGUGGUGCC
ensembl:misc_RNA